rnacentral:rRNA from 1 species
UGGGGAAUUUUGGACAAUGGGCGCAAGCCUGAUCCAGCCAUUCCGCGUGCAGGAUGAAGGCCCUCGGGUUGUAAACUGCUUUUGUACGGAACGAAAAGGCUCUGGUUAAUACCUGGGGCUUCAUGACGGUACCGUAAGAAUAAGCACCGGCUAACUACGUG